rnacentral:rRNA from 1 species
UUAAGCGACCAAGCGUACACGGUGGAUGCCCUGGCAGUCAGAGGCGAUGAAGGACGUGCUAAUCUGCGAUAAGCGCCGGUAAGGUGAUAUGAACCGUUAUAACCGGCGAUUUCCGAAUGGGGAAACCCAGUGUGACUCGUCACACUAUCAUUACGUGAAUACAUAGCGUAAUGAAGCGAACCGGGGGAACUGAAACAUCUAAGUACCCCGAGGAAAAGAAAUCAACCGAGAUUCCCCCAGUAGCGGCGAGCGAACGGGGAGGAGCCCAGAGCCUGAAUCAGCAUGUGUGUUAGUGGAAGCGUCUGGAAAGGCGUGCGAUACAGGGUGACAGCCCCGUACACAAAAGCGCAUAUGCUGUGAGCUCGAUGAGUAGGGCGGGACACGUGGUAUCCUGUCUGAAUAUGGGGGGACCAUCCUCCAAGGCUAAAUACUCCUGACUGACCGAUAGUGAACCAGUACCGUGAGGGAAAGGCGAAAAGAACCCCGGCGAGGGGAGUGAAACAGAACCUGAAACCGUGUACGUACAAGCAGUGGGAGCCCCACCACCAAAGCGUUUCGCUUUGUGUGGUGCACAAAGAAGCGUAACGACAGCACUGGCUGACGGUUAACGGAGCGUAAGCGACGUUCAACACAAAAAUCAGGCAGUGGAGCGCUUUGGGGUGGGGUGACUGCGUACCUUUUGUAUAAUGGGUCAGCGACUUAUAUUCUGUAGCAAGGUUAACCGAAUAGGGGAGCCGAAGGGAAACCGAGUCUUAAUUGGGCGUUAAGUUGCAGGGUAUAGACCCGAAACCCGGUGAUCUAGCCAUGGGCAGGUUGAAGGUUGGGUAACACUAACUGGAGGACCGAACCGACUAAUGUUGAAAAAUUAGCGGAUGACCUGUGGCUGGGGGUGAAAGGCCAAUCAAACCGGGAGAUAGCUGGUUCUCCCCGAAAGCUAUUUAGGUAGCGCCUCGUGAAUUCAUCUCCGGGGGUAGAGCACUGUUUCGGCUAGGGGGCCAUCCCGGCUUACCAACCCGAUGCAAACUGCGAAUACCGGAGAAUGUUAUCACGGGAGACACACGGCGGGUGCUAACGUCCGUCGUGAAGAGGGAAACAACCCAGACCGCCAGCUAAGGUCCCAAAGUCAUGGUUAAGUGGGAAACGAUGUGGGAAGGCCCAGACAGCCAGGAUGUUGGCUUAGAAGCAGCCAUCAUUUAAAGAAAGCGUAAUAGCUCACUGGUCGAGUCGGCCUGCGCGGAAGAUGUAACGGGGCUAAACCAUGCACCGAAGCUGCGGCAGCGAACGUAUCACUUAAAACGAUUCAGAAGCUUACGACUGACGGAGCGAAGCGACGUCAAAGCGUUCAUAAAAGGCGAGUCGGUUUAAGGAUACGUUCGUUGGGUAGGGGAGCGUUCUGUAAGCCGUUGAAGGUGGCCUGUGAGGGUUGCUGGAGGUAUCAGAAGUGCGAAUGCUGACAUAAGUAACGAUAAAGCGGGUGAAAAGCCCGCUCGCCGGAAGACCAAGGGUUCCUGUCCAACGUUAAUCGGGGCAGGGUGAGUCGACCCCUAAGGCGAGGCCGAAAGGCGUAGUCGAUGGGAAACGGGUUAAUAUUCCCGUACUUGGUGUUACUGCGAAGGGGGGACGGAGAAGGCUAUGUUGGCCGGGCGACGGUUGUCCCGGUUUAAGCGUGUAGGUGUGUGUUCCAGGUAAAUCCGGUUCACUUUAACACUGAGGCGUGACGACGAGGCACCACGGUGCUGAAGCAACAAAUGCCCUGCUUCCAGGAAAAGCCUCUAAGCAUCAGGUAACAUCAAAUCGUACCCCAAACCGACACAGGUGGUCAGGUAGAGAAUACCAAGGCGCUUGAGAGAACUCGGGUGAAGGAACUAGGCAAAAUGGUGCCGUAACUUCGGGAGAAGGCACGCUGACACGUAGGUGAAGUGAUUUACUCAUGGAGCUGAAGUCAGUCGAAGAUACCAGCUGGCUGCAACUGUUUAUUAAAAACACAGCACUGUGCAAACACGAAAGUGGACGUAUACGGUGUGACGCCUGCCCGGUGCCGGAAGGUUAAUUGAUGGGGUCAGCGCAAGCGAAGCUCCUGAUCGAAGCCCCGGUAAACGGCGGCCGUAACUAUAACGGUCCUAAGGUAGCGAAAUUCCUUGUCGGGUAAGUUCCGACCUGCACGAAUGGCGUAAUGAUGGCCAGGCUGUCUCCACCCGAGACUCAGUGAAAUUGAACUCGCUGUGAAGAUGCAGUGUACCCGCGGCAAGACGGAAAGACCCCGUGAACCUUUACUAUAGCUUGACACUGAACAUUGAGCCUUGAUGUGUAGGAUAGGUGGGAGGCUUUGAAGCGUGGACGCCAGUCUGCGUGGAGCCGACCUUGAAAUACCACCCUUUAAUGUUUGAUGUUCUAACGUGGACCCGUGAUCCGGGUUGCGGACAGUGUCUGGUGGGUAGUUUGACUGGGGCGGUCUCCUCCUAAAGAGUAACGGAGGAGCACGAAGGUUGGCUAAUCCUGGUCGGACAUCAGGAGGUUAGUGCAAUGGCAUAAGCCAGCUUGACUGCGAGCGUGACGGCGCGAGCAGGUGCGAAAGCAGGUCAUAGUGAUCCGGUGGUUCUGAAUGGAAGGGCCAUCGCUCAACGGAUAAAAGGUACUCCGGGGAUAACAGGCUGAUACCGCCCAAGAGUUCAUAUCGACGGCGGUGUUUGGCACCUCGAUGUCGGCUCAUCACAUCCUGGGGCUGAAGUAGGUCCCAAGGGUAUGGCUGUUCGCCAUUUAAAGUGGUACGCGAGCUGGGUUUAGAACGUCGUGAGACAGUUCGGUCCCUAUCUGCCGUGGGCGCUGGAGAACUGAGGGGGGCUGCUCCUAGUACGAGAGGACCGGAGUGGACGCAUCACUGGUGUUCGGGUUGUCAUGCCAAUGGCACUGCCCGGUAGCUAAAUGCGGAAGAGAUAAGUGCUGAAAGCAUCUAAGCACGAAACUUGCCCCGAGAUGAGUUCUCCCUGAGACUUAAAGUCUCCUGAAGGAACGUUAAAGACGAUGACGUUGAUAGGCCGGGUGUGUAAGCGCAGCGAUGCGUUGAGCUAACCGGUACUAAUGAACCGUGAGGCUUAACCUU